rnacentral:rRNA from 1 species
AUACGAAGGUCCCAAGCGUUGUUCGGAAUUACUGGGCGUAAAGCGUGUGUAGGCGGCAGAGUAAGUCAGAUGUGAAAUCCCGGGGCUCAACCUCGGAACUGCAUCCGAUACUGCUUUGCUGGAGGACUGGAGGGGGGUCUGGAAUUCUCGGUGUAGCAGUGAAAUGCGUAGAUAUCGAGAGGAACACUAGUGGCGAAGGCGAGACCCUGGACAGAUCCUGACGCUGAGACACGAAGGCUCGGGUAGCGAACGGGAUUAGAAACCCCGGUAGUCC